rnacentral:rRNA from 1 species
AGUGAACGCUGGCGGUAGGCCUAACACAUGCAAGUCGAACGGCAGCACAGUAAGAGCUUGCUCUUACGGGUGGCGAGUGGCGGACGGGUGAGGAAUACAUCGGAAUCUACUUUUUCGUGGGGGAUAACGUAGGGAAACUUACGCUAAUACCGCAUACGUCCUACGGGUGAAAGCAGGGGAUCUUCGGACCUUGCGCGAUUGAAUGAGCCGAUGUCGGAUUAGCUAGUUGGCGGGGUAAAGGCCCACCAAGGCGACGAUCCGUAGCUGGUCUGAGAGGAUGAUCAGCCACACUGGAACUGAGACACGGUCCAGACUCCUACGGGAGGCAGCAGUGGGGAAUACUGGACAAUGGGCGCAAGCCUGAUCCAGCCAUACCGCGUGGGUGAAGAAGGCCUUCGGGUUGUAAAGCCCUUUUGUUGGGAAAGAAAAGCAGCAGGUUAAUACCCCGCUGUUCUGACGGUACCCAAAGAAUAAGCACCGGCUAACUUCGUG